AUUGAACGCUGGCGGCAGGCCUAACACAUGCAAGUCGAACGAGUGGCGGACGGGUGAGUAAUGUCUGGGAAACUGCCUGCUGGAGGGGGAUAACUACUGGAAACGGUAGCUAAUACCGCAUAACAUCAGAUGUGCCCAGAUGGGAUUAGCUAGUUGGUGGGGUAACGGCGAACCAAGGCGACGAUCCCUAGCUGGUCUGAGAGGAUGACCUGCCACACGUGAACUGAGACCCGGUCCAGACUCCUACGGUAGGUAUCAUUGGGGAAUAUUGCACAAUGGGCGCAAGCCUGAUGCAGCCAUGCCGCGUGUAUGAAGAAGGCCUUCGGGUUGUAAAGUACUUUCAGCGGGGAGGCGUUACCCGCAGAAGAAGCACCGGCUAACUCCGUGCCAGCAGCCGCGGUAAUAC
rnacentral:rRNA from 1 species